rnacentral:lncRNA from 10 species
GAGGUCAGACCAGGAAGACAGAGGCCAAACCCAGCAUCACACUUUGACCUGCCCGGGAACACAGUGAGCUCCUGGGAAAUAACCACUAAAGUCUUGAAAUGUCUUGAGUGAUUGGAGGACCUUUAUUUUUCACGCCUGAUGCCUUAUGCUGAUGAGAUGACUCAGCAGGGGAUGGCCAGGCCAGAAAGACCAAAACUGUAUCCUGAGGUUUGAGUUUCUGAGCCAGGUGAUGUCAUCCUCCAGCUUGGCCGGCCUCUUUCUGGGAGCCUCUGGUGUGAAAGAGAGCAGUGCUUGCCUUUCCCAUGUCUAGGAGUUUGCCUAAAUCUUCAAAGAUAUGUGAGGCUUGCCUAGAACAUCAUCAUCAGGAAUGCUGGUCCUUCAAUUUGUUUUUUGAAUUGAAGUGUAGUUUACAGUGAUCAAGUUGAAAAUAAGGCUCUGCAUGAAAGCUAACUAUUAAAAGGGUGUGGGCACAGGAGCAACCAACACAGACCCCACAGAAUCCCAAACCUAUGCUAAGAGGGAGCACUUCCAUCCCUCCAAACCUGUGCUAAGAGGGACACCUCCAUCCUUCUAAGCCUGUGCUAAGAGGGAACACCUCCAUCCUUCCAAACCUGUGAUAGGAGGGAGCAUCUCCAUCCUUCUGAACCUGUGCUAAGAGGAAACACCUCCAUCCUUCCAAACCUGUGAUAGGAGGGAGCACCUCCAUCCUUCCGAACCUGUGCUAAGAGGGACACCUCCAUCCUUCCAAGCCUGUGCUAAGAGGGAGCACCUCCAUCCUUCCAAACCUGUGAUAGGAGGGAGCACCUCCAUCCUUCCAAGCCUGUGCUAAGAGGGAGCACCUCCAUCCUUCCAAACCUGUGAUAGGAGGGAGCACCUCCAUCCUUCCGAACCUGUGCUAAGAGGGACACCUCCAUCCUUCCAAGCCUGUGCUAAGAAGGAGCACCUCCAUCCUUCCAUCUGGGGGGAAGAGCCCUCCCCUGUAAGGAAGCGAGAGACUCUUUGAAGCAUGCAAGCACGCUGCUCCACAGGCUUAGCUGCACAGAGACGCACUACUCCAUUUACUCAUGGGCUGCCCGUGGGGCUUGGCGAAAGAGCAGGCUUGGCUUAGGGGAACUACUGAGACACAUCCAGAUUUAUUAAAAAUCAUCAACUUCAAAUUAUUUGGAUGGAAACAUUGCCAAAUCAUAGAGAUGUUUGCUACCACCCGCACACCAAGCAGCUGGGUAACUAGAAGUGCAGGAUCAGCUUAUUCACCUCCGAAAGCCUGCAUGCAACCACUGAGGCCGCCUCUAUUUUUUACAUAGUUCUACUUGGUGUAUGUAACCCCACAGAGAAACCUGGAAGAAUGCAUGAAACCUAGUAAGGCAACCAGCACAUGCAACAGAAUGAACCGUUUCUUUCCAUCUGAAUGCCUAAAUGUGGACUCUGAUCCUUUCUACCAAGUCCUAAGUUUGGGAAAAGAGGACAAGGACAGGGGCUCUGUCCCAUAUCAUAAUGUGCUUGUGAAUGGCUAAAAUUACAAUGCUGAGAUAAGUGUGUGUAAUAAAAUAAUUGCACCCCGAAUUGAAGAAUGUUUCACUGUUUAUUU